UACGAAGGGGGGCUAGCGUUGCUCGGAAUCACUGGGCGUAAAGCGCACGUAGGCGGAUUGCUAAGUCAGGGGUGAAAUCCUGGAGCUCAACUCCAGAACUGCCUUUGAUACUGGCGACCUUGAGUCCGGGAGAGGUGAGUGGAACUGCGAGUGUAGAGGUGAAAUUCGUAGAUAUUCGCAAGAACACCAGUGGCGAAGGCGGCUCACUGGCCCGGUACUGACGCUGAGGUGCGAAAGCGUGGGGAGCGAACAGG
rnacentral:rRNA from 1 species